CAAGUAGACCGCCUUAUCGCUGGCUUUUUGUCAGAGGAAAGUCUGGGCACCAUAGAGCAGAAUAGCGGGUAACGCCCGUCCGCCGUGAGGUGAGGACAAGUGCAACAGAAAGUAUGUACAGUUCGGCUGUAGUGAAACCAGGUAAACUCUAUUCGGUGAAAUGCCAUGUAAACCAACGCUAAGUGCUGCUCGCGCAAGUUGGAGGGUAGGCAGAUAAAGUGUACAGGUAACCGUGCACAUAGAUAAAUGAUAAGGACACGCCUUUGGCGAUGUACAGAACCCGGCUUAUAGGUCUACUUUUUUU
rnacentral:RNase_P_RNA from 1 species